UGGUUUCAUGAUCGCGCCGGUGUCCCGAGAGGGACUUAAUAGGGAAUGCGGUGCGGGCGGUUCCGAUCGCCCAAAUCCGCGGCUGUCCCUGCAACUGUAAGCGGUGAGCGAGACGCAUAUCGUCGGUCCCGAUAUUCGGGGCAGGCAGCCACUGGGCCGGACGCUAAAUCAUGCGAGGCCUGGGAAGGCCGUGCAUCAAGCUGUGACCCGCGAGCCAGGAGACCUGCCAGCGUCUGGUCGCUCUU
rnacentral:ncRNA from 2 species